GCAAGUCGAACGCUCUCUUCGGAGAGAGUGGCAGACGGGUGAGUAACGCGUGGGAAUCUACCUAGUACUAAGGAACAACAGUUAGAAAUGACUGCUAAUACCUUAUACGCCCUCCGGGGGAAAGAUUUAUCGGUAUUAGAUGAGCCCGCGUUUGAUUAGCUAGUUGGUGAGGUAAUGGCUCACCAAGGCGACGAUCAAUAGCUGUUCUUAGAGGAAGACC
rnacentral:rRNA from 1 species